AGUCAAAGAUAAUACGCGGGGCUACUCGGGUGAUGUUUCUGAAUGCAGCCCUAAAUGAUGGAAUGCAGCCAUUAUUGUGGGCGGGACUGAUGUCUGACGGAAGCACAAAAUCUUCAAGAGGAGUGACAAUCUGUGAAGGAAGGAAAGAGGAGGAGGUCUAGGAGAGGCAUCAUGCAUCGGUGGAGCAACUUUGGGUAUCAUCGUAGUUACAGGCAGAUAACUCCAUCCGUUGCACUUCGGAUCGGUGAGGAAC